AAUGAACGCUGGCGGCAUGCCUAACACAUGCAAGUCGAACGGACCCUUCGGGGUUAGUGGCGGACGGGUGAGUAACACGUGGGAACGUGCCCUUUGGUUCGGAACGACUCAGGGAAACUUGAGCUAAUACCGAAUGUGCCCUUCGGGGGAAAGAUUUAUCGCCAUUGGAGCGGCCCGCGUCUGAUUAGCUAGUUGGUGGGGUAAUGGCCUACCAAGGCUACGAUCAGUAGCUGGUCUGAGAGGAUGAUCAGCCACAUUGGGACUGAGACACGGCCCAAACUCCUACGGGAGGCAGCAGUGGGGAAUCUUGCGCAAUGGGCGAAAGCCUGACGCAGCCAUGCCGCGUGAAUGAUGAAGGUCUUAGGAUUGUAAAAUUCUUUCGCCGGGGACGAUAAUGACGGUACCCGGAGAAGAAGCCCCGGCUAACUUCGUGCCAGCCGCCGCAGUAACAC
rnacentral:rRNA from 1 species